AACGAACGCUGGCGGCAGGCUUAACACAUGCAAGUCGAACGCCCCGCAAGGGGAGUGGCGCACGGGUGAGUAACGCGUGGGAAUAUGCCCUUCGGUUCGGAAUAACACAGGGAAACUUGUGCUAAUACCGGAUACGAUCUACGGAUGAAAGAUUUAUCGCCGAGGGAGUAGCCCGCGUAGGAUUAGCUAGUUGGUGAGGUAAUGGCUCACCAAGGCGACGAUCCUUAGCUGGUCUGAGAGGAUGAUCAGCCACACUGGGACUGAGACACGGCCCAGACUCCUACGGGAGGCAGCAGUGGGGAAUAUUGGACAAUGGGCGAAAGCCUGAUCCAGCCAUGCCGCGUGAGUGAUGAAGGCCUUAGGGUUGUAAAGCUCUUUCGCCAGGGAAGAUAAUGACGGUACCUGGAAAAGAAGCCUCGGCUAACUACGUGCCAGCCGCCGCGGUAAUAC
rnacentral:rRNA from 1 species